rnacentral:lncRNA from 1 species
AAAUAACCGUGUUUUCGACCGCGCUUCUCAGCGCAGGCAGUCAGGAGAAGCGCCGGUCACUGCUGGCAUGACCCACGGCUGUGGCUGACGUCCCACAGAGGUGACAGAGGACGGGUCUGACAGCUGAAGGAACAAAACAGUGGGGUUUGUCCACGCGGCUGUGAGCGGGCAGGGAGGCUCUCGGCGUCUUGCAGGGAAAAGCGGGUGGCAUCACCGCAGGGCGAGGAGAGGAAGGGACGGGGCUGCACCGCGCUGCUUUAAGCAGGCAGCCCGCCGCUUGCGGCUUUUGUCUCCUCUCGCAGCGGCUACGCGUUAAUUCGGUCUGUUUAGCGGAGGGGAAAAGCCUCCUUCCCUUCACCCUCGGUUUCAGAAUUAUUGUGUCCCUGAGGGGGAGGGUUAGGCGGACACGUUUGGUUUGGAAAUGACUCACUCGGCGGCACCAUGGAACCGGAGGGUCUAUUUUUAAUAUUUUCAAAUGGAAAACUUGCUCGAGAUUUAUGCCGGCGCUUUGCCUCGGAGGUUCAGCCCCGUCCCUUCCGCGGGCCGCCCCGGGCACAUCCCCGCAGCCGCACCUCCCACAGCAGCCCCACUACCCGGCGGCGGAACCCCCUCCCCGGCAGCCCGGCCCGGCUCUCCCCUCGCACUCACCGCCGCCGCACUGCGGGGAGGGCGGCAGCGAACGCCGCCGCUCCGCUCCGCUCGUCGCUCAGCUCCGCUCCCGCCGUCGCCCCGCCGUGGGCUGAAGGACGCGCUGCCUCUGGCCGCGAUCUGGCGAAAUUUGCCACCACCCGGCCGGGAUUCCACACUUCCCGGCUCUCGGCCAGCCCUUAUUUUAACAAUCUGCCUUUCGCUGGCUCCUCCCAGCGCAGACAAAGGCGGCCGGGCCGAGCCGAGCCGCCCUGGGGCUGCGGGCGCUGCUCCCCCCGGGCACCGAUCCCGCCUCGGUUCGGUGGGUCAGGAAGAGUAAAUCCCUCCGGCCGUUAGAGAAAGCAAACGACGGGACGCGCUGGAAGGGCUCGGAGGCCCUUGACCCCGACGGGCCGGGGAUGCUGAGGCUGCUACCGGCCCCAACCCGGCUGCCACCAGCCCGAGCCGGUGUGCGGAGGAGCCCUCCUUAGCACCGCGUUACACGGACUGCUCGUCGCGGCCCAUAAACGCGUGGCGCGGGGGAACGCAAGUAGGAUUUACUCUCAAGAACACAAAAAUCAGUACCUGGAACUUGCAGACUACAAACACACAGAAAAACAUGCUUCCUGAUCCAGAAGGAUGAAGUAUAUUAUGACAGUUGAUAAAACUAGAAUUCUAUGUGCUGGAGUAGUCACCUGGUAAUCUGCUAACAAUUGGAAGUACGCACCACCACUAGUUCUGCAUCUGCUUUUCAAGCCAACAUUUGCUAAUCACUCAAUGAUAACAUUGCAGAAGCAGAGUUUGAGCAGUAGUCUCUAACCUGUGGUUCACAACCUAGCCAGGAAAUGCAAGAUGCUAUGCGACUGGAGAAGCAAGGCUCAAGUUGUUUAUCAUGCUUGAUAUGUUCCUCAUGGGCCAGCAAAAAAAUUCACAAAAGGUUACACAUCAAGUAAAUGGUGACUUGAUAUACCUGGGCAGUGCUGUGUGCUGAGAGAAACACUGCAAGAAAAAAUAGGGAAGUUUGGGGAAGGGUAGGCAUUCAGGUCAUACCAGUACAGACCAUAGAGCAGAUCUCAGCUUGUAGCAUUACAUAAACCACACUGUGUCCUGUGUUCAGCAUUAAAAAAGAAAAGAAAAAAAAACACCUACAGGAGCCAGUGUUUUUCCCCACAUUUAAACUCAUGGUUAUGAAUCAAAACCUGAGAAUGAGUCAAGUGUGAGACAAACACCUUAACAUGCUGAGAUCCAUAACCUAAGAUUUAGGAGAAGAGAGACCCCCUGGUCUGGUGAGAAGCUCAAGUUCAAGACAUCAUUCCCACAACACAAACUUACUAUGACCAUCCUGUUUUAUGGCUGGACUUCUUACGGGAAGGAAAUGGAAGAAGGAAAUGAAGAGAUUUGCUUCCACUGUGCCGGAAAGAAGGUGGAUCCCUCUGUAACUGCAUCUUUUGGAGGGAGCUCUGUGUAAAGGAGAGUCUUCGUCAGUGAGGGUGAGGGCCCCGGUUAACUCAUGCAGGAGUGUAGGUACUGGGAAGAUUGAAUACACAGCAAGGACAGACAAGAAAGACAAGUAGAAACAUUAGCCCACAAGAGGAAGAUGAAAGUCUUCCAGUGGAAUUUCAUCUUACCUAACACUCUGGCUAUAUAAGAGCAUACAAUACCUCUUGUAAUCAACAUAUUUUGUCUGGGCUUCUUUAGUGGGGAGGGAGGCAUGUUCAGAGCUAAUUCAUCUCACCUGGGUCAGACAGCUGUGUUACGUUAGGAGAAAUCACCCUCUGGAGAAGUCUGUAUGCCUCAGCUGAUUCCAAAAGGUGCUGCCUUGAACAACACACCUAACCUCCACAGUCUGGUAAAUUCUGCCCUGAAGCUUACCUGAGUGGGACAGAGUUGCAGUUAAGAAAAAAAAAUCUAAUGAGAAGGGUUAUCUCUAAGAUUGAUAGAUGAGGAAAGUGACCUUCAACAGCUCCAUUUUUACUUUUAGCUUCAGUGAGAUCACCAAGAAGAAAAUAACGUGGGAAGCACAGAACUUUCUUUAGAAACCAUAGACAAGUGAUAAUUCACAAGUGUCUGUUCUCAGCAUUGGAGCCAACAAGUGCUACAGAUGGCUGUUUGGUUUGUGUGCAAGGAAUUGUCUCUUUGGCCUUGCUCAAUUCUGCAGCAUUGUCUUAAAGAACACAAAAGCAAGCAAAUUGACAACAUCAAAGAUGCUGCUACAAAUGCUUAUAUUGAACGGAUAUGUGAGAAAUAGCUACAGCUUUAAUUUUGUUUUUGACACUCUGUUUUAACACCACACAUCCUCUCUGCAGCACUUGACUGCAAGACAGCCUUGAGCACACACACGUCCUGCUUUCAUAAAGCCUGCUGCUCACUAAGAGCCAAACCACAAGAGUUGUGACUAACAAAUGUGACCUUUAAUUAGCUUGCUUUAUAGUGCACUUGAUGAUGGGAAGAAUCCAUGGCAUAUAGCCUUUGCUUUGUCUGUGUGAUCUGACAGGUCUUCAACAUCAUAUGCUUCUCAGAAAUGAGUUCUGGGAAAAAAAAAACCCAAUUACAAACAUACAGCAUGGUCUAGCAGGGCAAUGAAGAGACCAUAAUGCCUGAAGAGCAUUCCUAAUUCUAGCGCUAAUUUUCAAGGGGCUAAGAGCUGCAGCUAAACCAUGUUAAGUAGUCACCAUCUUUCAAUCUGUUCUUAUUCUGUCCAAAGAUCUCUUUCCUCUUCCAUCUGCUGGGAUAGCACAUAUUUGCCAGUUGUCAAAUGAGCAAAAGAAAGAGAACGCACACACAAGCAAGCAGUAAAAAAAGAAAGAAAAAAGAGAAAAAAAGACUUCAGUUUAAGUGGUGGUUUUAAUAGAAGAGGGUUAGGACAAAGCUACACUUGAGGUUAACUUAAAGAGCAUGGGGCAGAUGUCUGAGAAUAAGCUGUGAACUGUAACCUCCUGUCCUAGCUCAGACAUCGCAGAAGUUGUUCAGCAGUUCCUCUCACCCUUCUCUUUACAGCCUAAAAACUGUAUUUCAGAUGCUACAAAGCUUAAAUAACUCCUGCAAAGACUUUUUUUCCCCCCCUUAGUUGAACAUGCAAGUUAUGAUUUCAAGCUCAGGAAGGGAAAGGGAGGGAAGUGUUUCCAAGUUAUGGCAUUAAGAGAACUUCAUUAGUUUUACAAAUCAAAGCUCUGGCACAAAUGAGGUUCAGGAAACUACAAUUUCUCUGGGGGAGUGGGUGGGAGAAGGAGAAACAUAUUUUACAUUUAAAAAAAAAUAAUUCAAAUCAAAAGCUAUUCAUUCAGAAGGAGGGUUCUCAGAAGCUAUAAUACAAAAGGCACCUAAAACAACAGGACAGCAGACAUUAAAUUAGACACAUCUAUAAGAUGAGAUGAUGGGCAGAUUAGGAGGAACAAACAAAUACAACCAGGGAGUAUACUUCACAAGCAGGGAUUAUAACAAAGACCUCUGUCAGUGGUACCAUACUGUAACCUCACAUAAAGAUAGGACGCAGAAGAUAUAGUUGCCUUUAGCCAGUUUUGGAUCACCCAAAAAGCAUAACAGUCACAAUUUGGUAAUGAAGGAAUAGCUCACCUCUUUCCAAGGAUCAAUACUCUCUGGAAACUCCUAAAGGAUACAGUCUCCAAAUUGGAAUGCUUUCCCCACAACUGCCAGCCCUUAAAUGAGGUUAGGGAGGGGUGGACCCUGAGUUGCACAGGUGGACCCUUCCAGUCAUACUGGUGAAUCGUUUGCACCUGUGCUUUCAGGGCUGGUUACGCCCCUUCAACAGGUGUUCAAUCACUGGUUCAGGUCAUGACCUAACGGUUCCCCAACAGAAUAUUGCAUUCUGUCCUGAAAAUCUCAUCAGAAAGACAUUAGCAAAUAUAAAGGAAUUCAUUUUAAAAAAGUAGAAGUUGUAAGUACUGAUUUAGAGAUAUUGUCAUAUGAACUGAAAGAGCUGAACAGAGCUGGUUGUGCUGUGCAUGAGGUAUAAGAUGCAAAGCUGCAAAAAUUAGAAAUGGGAUAAGGUACCAUGAGAGUAGGACAAAUGAGGCUUGCAAAAGUGAGAGCACUAUUACUGUAAAGAAGGAGAAAAGGGGAUGAAAUGACAAAGAUUAGGAUGAGCACAGUUACAAUGAUUUGGCUACAAGAUCCAUCACCUGGUGGAGAAGUUUCUCAGGGGUGCUUCUUGUGGUAUUUUAAAUAAACCCAAAGCUAUUGUUUAUGCCUUGGCUUACCAAGAGCAGUGGGCUAGUUGAUCUUCUACAGUGGAAUUUUCCAUCUCCCAUUUCUGUGUUUCUAAUGCUUGUGUUUCUCCAGCAUAGAGUGCUGUUUGUCACGUCAGUGGCAAACCACUGAGGGAGAAGACAAACAAACUAGCCCUCCGGGAGAGAAGAUCUAAAUGAAGAAAAGAACUAAAGCAUGUUUGUGUGUGAUGUUUUACGGUCACAAAUCAUAGCCAGGCAAAAGAAACAGCAACCAGCCUUCUUUAGUCAAGCAAAAGCAGUGGCAACCAGCCUUCUUUACACUGACCUCUGCUAGAAACCAUAAUAUAAAUUACCAAAAGAGGCAAGAAAGCACAAUAAACCCCUCCUUCCAUUAUCCUGCUUUAAUUUUUCACAUCUCCUGACUUUGUCUCUCUAGCUUCUCUAUCUGCUUCUUCUUCCUCUUGGCUUUCAUCCCCAAGGUCAGUAAACGGAAUGUUUAAAUUAAUUACUUAGAAUCCUCAACAUCCAUCCUAAAACCUCUCCAACCUAGCUUCUAUACCCUAAAUCUCAGAGUGGUGUGCCAAAUUUUCUAAAUACCUUUCAGUCAACCCUCAGUUCAGUUCCCAUCAUCUCCAACAUGCCAUCCAUGGCUGUUCUCAAAAAGGCUGUUCUCUUGCAAAAUCCUUUUGUGCUUUGUGUUCUCCUACCUCCUUUUUGCCUUGUCAUUGUAUCUUCUUGAGGGAGGACUUUUUGUUUUGGUCACUUUUCUUCUCCUUUAUCCUGUCUCCAGACAAUUUAAAACACACACAAGAAAUUAAUUACCAAUGCUUGUUUAUACUCUCUACUCCAGUCUUAGCUCUUCUUUUUUCCCUUUUAUAGUACAAUAUAUGUAAGAUAUGGCCCUCCUGCCUCUUUAACUCAUGCCUUUCUAUCUCUAGGUCCUCAUAUUCACGCAAUGCUUAAACUUUCCAGAUGCUUUGAGUAGCUUCUGUCAAAUAGUCUCCUUACUUAUCCACAGAGCAAUGCAUCUCAGCCUGAGUUGUCACCUCAUAUCAAAAUGACUGUGAUACCUCUUCCUCCAGCUUUCAAAAAUGAUAUGGGUCUUAACUCAUGACCACAUAGAACAUGUCUACAAAUACCACUGCCUCAGCUUCUCACUUAAUUUACAGUCUGUCGGCUGUGCCUCUAUAGAGGUCACUGCAGUGGUAAUUUUGGCAAGGUGACCAAUGGCUCAGUUACCAGCUGUGAAGAAGUCUGAUAUUUCAUGUAUCAGCUAUCUGCUGGCAACAGCUUUAGGUUACAUUCCCUAUCAGAGCUGCACACCCAAAAGAGUACGCACGUGGUAUAAAGCAUUUGGUAUAAGGCAUUUUUCUUACAGCAAAACAAGUGAAUCAGUAGGUGUUAGAUGACUCUUCUUGGUAAACGGAUGUCCAAUUGCACAGUUCUAGUUACAAGAGGAGGCUUCUAAGAUGUCUUUCUCUAUUCAAACCAUCUUGCUGUGAUUCAUCCAUUGGUUUUUGGUACGCUUUUUUUUUUUUUUUUUUUUUUUUUUUUUUUUUUUUUACUUCCCACAUCUUACUUGCUGACCAUGUUACAUUCUGUGGGUAAAAAAAAAGCUGAGACAGAAGCAUUCUGAUGUGGUGAAAGCCACUACUGUGGGGAGAUCUCACAGUCAGAAACACAAGGUUUCUUUUUUAAAAUGCCUAACCCUGUCCAACGUGCUUUUACGUAGUCCUCGGAGCCAGCUGAAUUCGAUGAAUCCAUGUAGACCCAGCAGGACACGUUCACCUCCUGAGCUGACUGGCACAAAAAAAUUGUUUGGUCAGAGGAUAAGGAGAAAUCAUGAGUUGCACUAGAAGUGAUCAUAAUGGCUCAGUGUGGAACAGAAGUGAUGAGUGAGGCUAUACUGUAAGCUUGAAGUAGAGAGGCUGAGAAGUUUUAGGGCACUGAGAGGUAUUUGAAAGAUACACUUAGUAAGACGCAAUUAUUCAAAAUAUGCAUGGAUUGUGAAAGAUAUAUGGAUGCUAAAGUGAAGGACAGCUCCAGGGAUUAUUUUUCCAUGUCAUCAGAUGCAUUUUAUCCCAAAAUAUUUAUUGUGAAGAGAUAGAUCUUUAGGGCACGAAGGUACCAUAAACUACGCUAGUGUAGCUGAGACAGUAUUUGUAAGGGAAACAAGAUAUAAGAUGAUAAAAGUGCUACUUUGCUUAAAUGAAGGUGCAGUCUGCAUGUGAUAACAUUUCACAAGCAAGAAGGGCCUGUGCAUUUGUAGAAGUCAGCUCAUGAUUGCCAGUGUAAAUGUAUUUAACUAGAGAACCCCGCACGCGUGUAUUCACAUUGCUUAUGAGCAACACUGUGAGGUGGCCAAAUGGCUGUGUGUACAGACAUGCUCUCCUAUGGAGAGCUUACAUGGGUGUUUGAAUAUCAGCUGUGGAAUCUGUCUAGGACUGUACAUUUUGUGGGUCAGACUCAUAUCUAACUGUGCCAAGAUGAAGCUGGGCAAUGUGGUUUGUCACAUCUCCAAUUCUCAGAAUUCUUCUUGGUCUCUCAGGUUUUUUAUUUAUUUUCAAAAACUCGCCACAGAGACUGUUCUUUAUGUGAAACUUACUCUUGUGCCAGGCAAGACUGGAAUUUCAGUCAUUCAUAAAGGAAACCCAAGUUUUUUUUUUGUGUGCGUAUAUUGCUCGCUCACUAGAGCAUAUACAACACCAACACCCAGGCAUUACUACCAAAAAACAUUCAACAAAAUAGCCUUCCUCCCUUUCCCAUCAUUUUCACACCUUGCUGGAAUGUGAAAUCAAAAUGACAAAAACUUGUAAAUUAAUCAGUAAUUCUGGAUCAUCACUCAUCAGUGCCAAGUGUGUCGUGUCCUGAGCAUGCCCCCCCUCACAUCCUCUCUCUACAACAGACGGGACAUCUGCCAAGGUCACGGCUAACAAAAGGCACAGUCCCAAACUGUGGAAUAAAUACCUUUAAUGAAACAUGAAUAAAGCAAUGUCUAUGCUAUACUACAUUACAUCACAGGCCAGAAGGUCUGUCAGGUGGAAUAUAUAUGCAGAGGGCAACAAACCGUGAUGCUCACCUGCAGCUAGGGAACAUGUCUUACGAAGAGACAUUGUGUUAGACUGCAUCUAGUAUGUGGGGUUCGUCAGCAUGGAAGAGAUGAUGUUCAAGUCUGUGCAGGGGAUUUUUGAAGCAAAAAGCAAAAGCAAGUGCAUUUGCAUGUUCGUUAUCAGAUAGAUCCAUUUUAACUGUGAAUGACCAACCCGCUCAUAAGCUAGUUUUUACUCAAGACAGUCUCUUGGUUAGUCUAAUUUUGCUGUUGUUACAAGAAACUUGGCAAGAAAAUUGGCAACCUAUCUGAGUGCAUAAAUCUCAACUCAGGCAGGCUAGCAUGGACCCCAAUUAGCUUGUGUUUAGUUUGUAAGCAGUGUAGCAUAUUAAUGGCCAGAAUGGGUCUCCAACGCUAUUUUUACCUGUAUUAGCUAAAUUAAAGCUAGCAAAGAAUGUUCUUUGUUCUUCAAUCACUCCUUCUUCACAAUUGCAAACAUAUCUGAAUUCAUUUCCACAAUUAUACUGCCCAAAGUCUGUGAAGGACAGAUAUCUUGCUGAGGAAAAUUCCAUGGCACAACGAUGGCACCCAGUCCUGGGAGGAGGUAUAGGGAAAUAGCUGGGUUAACAUAAGCAAAACAAUGUUGUUGCUAAAUAUGUACUCACGGCCUGAAUUGCAAAAUCAGUGAAGCUGAUUCUAACAAACUAUAACCUGAUAUCAUAUUGUCCCCUUUUUUACAGACACAGAAUAUAAAAGUAAGCAAAAAAAAAAAAAAAAAAAGUCUUCCUGUGUAAUAAAUACAGAAGGUUAAGCAGUGAAUUCUUCUGUCACCCCCAUUACCCCUGAAGGAAACAUUUUGCUGACAGAAAGGUAUUUUUUCAUCUGAUGAAAGUUCCAGUAUACCUCAGUGCUCAGGGGAAUGAAAGUCUUUGUGCACAGGAUACAGACUGCAAGCAUGUACCUACUUGCAUUAGCCUGUCAACAGGGAAGAGGGCAGAAGGAAUCACGACUAGCAGCUGACCCUAGGAAGAUGUGGACAGUCAUAGCUGUAACAUAUUUUUACCACUACAGUGAGCUGCCAGUAUUUACUGUACACAUAUGGAAUGGUAUGCAAGGUGGUGAGCUGUCUGAAUAAAUAAACAGAAAAAGUUUAGGGUCCAAGUUGGACUGAACAAUAGACCGGGAAGAAUGUGAGUCUCCUCUUUAACUGGACUUCCCUCCAGGAAACCUAACUCGUAAUAAAAUCCUCCUGUAUCCUGUGCCCUAGUCUGGGGUUGUUGACUCAGUUCCAGCUAAUCAUGUAGAUCAUAUUUGCAGAAGGAGAUGAAUACAUGCUGCAGGACACAACCAAGAAAGUAUUCUGGAAGAAAUCCCCCUGCACUAGAUGACAGGAGAGUUGGCCUUAGCAUUUGGGAGAGAUCCAUCUUUUCCUCAAGCCCCCACCAAUCUGACUGCUUCUAUAGUCAAGUCAUGUAGGAGACCUAAAAAACUCAAAACUUCUCUCCUGCCCCAUUAUCCUGAGAAAUGGAAGAACUGUCCAUGAGUACAGAGGAAGGAGAAUUUUAGAAUCUGAGGCUCCUGCUUCCAGACACAUGGGUUUGAGCUGCAUAGUAUUUGAGACGUAUCUAUUUGGAUUAGAAGUCUGUUCAGUUCUGAAAGUGAAGCUUCUCUUGGACGUCUGAAAAUCUAAGACAUUCAUUUUCAAGCUAGAGAUUUAAGUAAGAUGACCAAGAGAACAGAGAGAUGUGGCACGGGAAGUUUGUAACUCGGAAUUGAUGCCUCAGCACAAACCUGGGCCAGAAGAAAAGCGGUACUCAAAUUUUUGCUACUAGCAAGACAACCAGCUUUCUGAAAAAAAAGAAGAAUAAAGGAAGUAAGAAGUCUGUGGAGCAUAUUCUAUACUACUGGUGUUCAGCAAUUCUGUACUUGACAUCUAGCUAAUAAAAUAGUAUUAUUUUGGGGGAAAAAAAACUGUUACAUGUUAUAUUUACAGUCAUUUUCACUGC